ACUUUAUAUGCUUGGUUAACUUUAAUUGAUUUUAAAAAAAAAAUUGAAUAAAAUAUUUUAUUGGGGCGAUAAAGGUAUAAUUUUUAUUAACUGCUUUAAGAGAACAAUACUAUUUGAAAUAAGUGGAUCCUUUAAUAAAGAUUAAAAGACCAAGUU
rnacentral:rRNA from 1 species